UACGAAGGGGGCUAGCGUUGCUCGGAAUCACUGGGCGUAAAGGGUGCGUAGGCAGGUCUUUAAGUCAGGGGUGAAAUCCUGGAGCUCAACUCCAGAACUGCCUUUGAUACUGAAGAUCUUGAGUUCGGGAGAGGUGAGUGGAACUGCGAGUGUAGAGGUGAAAUUCGUAGAUAUUCGCAGGAACACCAGUGGCGAAGGCGGCUUACUGGUCCAUUACUGACGCUGAGGUGCGAAAGCGUGGGGAGCCAAA
rnacentral:rRNA from 1 species